GCUAGACAAGAAUGCAACAUGUUAACCUAACUUUAAAAAUUAUUACUGCCAUUCAUACGUAAAACUCAGAGUAAUCUUGUGGUGAGUAGUUUCAUUACUUGUUACAGACCUCUAAUGAUGUCACAGGCGUUUACUUUAUCAGCGAUCAAUGUAUAAACUGGUCUGUGCACACCAAGAAAUCUAACCAGGUUUUAUAAGUGUUACUUAUACAUGUACCCAAGUUAGACCAGGAUGCACCUUGAUUAUUCAACUUAAAAAAAUCAGAG